GAGUUUGAUCAUGGCUCAGAUUGAACGCUGGCGGCAGGCCUAACACAUGCAAGUCGAGCGGUAGAGAGAAGCUUGCUUCUCUUGAGAGCGGCGGACGGGUGAGUAAUGCCUAGGAAUCUGCCUGGUAGUGGGGGAUAACGCUCGGAAACGGACGCUAAUACCGCAUACGUCCUACGGGAGAAAGCAGGGGACCUUCGGGCCUUGCGCUAUCAGAUGAGCCUAGGUCGGAUUAGCUAGUUGGUGAGGUAAUAGGCUCACCAAGGCGACGAUCCGUAACUGGUCUGAGAGGAUGAUCAGUCACACUGGAACUGAGACACGGUCCAGACUCCUACGGGAGGCAGCAGUGGGGGAAUAUUGGACAAUGGGCGAAAGCCUGAUCCAGCCAUGCCGCGUGUGUGAAGAAGGUCUUCGGAUUGUAAAGCACUUUAAGUUGGGAGGAAGGGCAGUAAAUUAAUAACUUUG
rnacentral:rRNA from 1 species